GGCUCAGGACGAACGCUGGCGGCGUGCCUAACACAUGCAAGUCGAGCGGGGAUUAUCGAAUGAAGUUUUCGGAUGGAAUUUGGUAAUUCUAGCGGCGGACGGGUGAGUAACGCGUGAGCAACCUGCCUUUCACAGGGGGAUAACGCAUCGAAAGGUGCACUAAUACCGCAUGAGACCACGCUCCCGACAUGAGAGAGGGGUCAAAGGAGCAAUCCGGUGAGAGAUGGGCUCGCGUCUGAUUAGCUAGUUGGUGAGGUAACGGCCCACCAAGGCGACGAUCAGUAGCCGACCUGAGAGGGUGAUCGGCCACAUUGGAACUGAGAGACGGUCCAAACUCCUACGGGAGGCAGCAGUGGGGAAUAUUGGGCAAUGGGGGAAACCCUGACCCAGCAACGCCGCGUGAAGGAAGAAGGUUUUCGGAUCGUAAACUUCUAUCCUUGGUGAAAAUAGUGAUGGUAGCCAAGAAGGAAGCCCCGGCUAACUACGUGCCAGCAGCCGCGGUAAUACGUAGGGGGCAAGCGUUGUCCGGAAUGAUUGGGCGUAAAGGGCGCGUAGGCGGCCUGGUAAGUUUGGAGUGAAAGUCCUUCUUUUAAGGAGGGAACUGCUUUGAAAACUGUCGGGCUUGAGUGCAGGAGAGGUAAGCGGAAUUCCCGGUGUAGCGGUGAAAUGCGUAGAGAUCGGGAGGAACACCAGUGGCGAAGGCGGCUUACUGGACUGUUACUGACGCUGAGGCGCGAAAGUGUGGGGAGCAAACAGGAUUAGAUA
rnacentral:rRNA from 1 species